GAAGGUAUAGCUCAGCAGUAGAGCGCGUGCUUAGCCUACCUGAGGUGCUGGGUUCAAUCCCCAGUAUCUCCA
rnacentral:tRNA from 1 species